rnacentral:rRNA from 1 species
GACGAACGCUGGCGGCGUGCUUAACACAUGCAAGUCGAACGGAAAGGCCCUGCUUUUGUGGGGUUCUCGAGUGGCGAACGGGUGAGUAACACGUGAGUAACCUGCCCUUGACUUUGGGAUAACUUCAGGAAACUGGGGCUAAUACCGGAUAGGAGCUCCUGCUGCAUGGUGGGGGUUGGAAAGUUUCGGCGGUUGGGGAUGGACUCGCGGCUUAUCAGCUUGUUGGUGGGGUAGUGGCUUACCAAGGCUUUGACGGGUAGCCGGCCUGAGAGGGUGACCGGCAACAUUGGGACUGAGAUACGGACCAGACUCCUACGGGAGGCAGCAGGGGGGAAUAUUGCAAAAUGGGCGGAAGCCUGAUGCAGCAACGCCGCGUGCGGGAUGACGGCCUUCGGGUUGUAAACCGCUUUCGACUGUGACGAAGCGUGAGUGACGGUAAUGGGUAAAGAAGCACCGGCUAACUACGUG